rnacentral:lncRNA from 1 species
GCGCGCGGCCGUUUCCGGAGGCGGUGGCCAAAGUGGGCGGGGCUAGGCCGGAGCUGCUGGUGGGAGGCAGCCACUUGAGAUCACCAGGCCUCCUGUAGACCGGCGGGUGCAGGGCCCGGUCCCAGAGUUAAGGGAAAGUCGUUUGGAAACCCCAGGCCAACAGGACCCUUUGGCAGCUGAGGCUGGAAACAGCGGAACCAAAGGCAGACGGUCCUCAGUUGCUUGGGCGGACGUGGACCCAAUCUGUCCGUCCUUACAAGUUUCCCCCAGGGGCAGGACCUAGACGCGCGGCGCAUUCAGGUUCUCCUGGACCGUAGUGGUAGUCGCUGGCCCGAGUUAGAGGCCAGCUGAGAAGUCUUCGUGCUUCAGAUUUGUUUACCUACAAAAUGCUUCGGUAUCCAUAUUUUUGUAGAAUGUAUAAAGAAUGCCUUUCAUGUUGGUUGGAAUCUGGCAUACCUAAUUUAGGUGUCUGGCCAAACAGAAUACAUACUACAGCAGAAAAAUAUAGAGAAUAUGAAGCCCGGGAGCAAACAGAUCAAACUCAAGCCCAGGAGUUACACAGAUCUCAAGAUAGAGAUUUUGAAACUAUGGCUAAAUUACAUAUUCCAGUAAUGGUGGAUGAAGUUGUUCAUUGUUUGUCACCACAAAAAGGACAGCAAAAGAAGUAAACUGUGGAUAUUUAAUAUAUUCAUAAAGAUGGAGAAUUUCCCACUUGAGUGUAUUCUAUUCUGAAUUUUGGAACCAAGCUAGCUGAUUUUACACGUUUGAUUUUAUGAUUACAUAUGGAAAAAAAUC